GAUGAACGCUGGCGGCGUGCCUAAUACAUGCAAGUCGAGCGAACAGACGAGGAGCUUGCUCCUCUGACGUUAGCGGCGGACGGGUGAGUAACACGUGGAUAACCUACCUAUAAGACUGGGAUAACUUCGGGAAACCGGAGCUAAUACCGGAUAAUAUAUUGAACCGCAUGGUUCAAUAGUGAAAGACGGUUUUGCUGUCACUUAUAGAUGGAUCCGCGCCGCAUUAGCUAGUUGGUAAGGUAACGGCUUACCAAGGCAACGAUGCGUAGCCGACCUGAGAGGGUGAUCGGCCACACUGGAACGGAGACACGGUCCAGACUCCUAAGGGAGGCAGCAGAAGGGAAUCUUCCGCAAUGGGCGAAAGCCUGACGGAGCAACGCCGCGUGAGUGAUGAAGGUCUUCGGAUCGUAAAACUCUGUUAUUAGGGAAGAACAAAUGUGUAAGUAACUAUGCACGUCUUGACGGUACCUAAUCAGAAAGCCACGGCUAACUACGUG
rnacentral:rRNA from 1 species